CAGUAGCCACGGUAAUACGUAGGUGGCAAGCGUUGUCCGGAUUUAUUGGGCGUAAAGCGAGCGCAGGCGGUUCCUUAAGUCUGAUGUGAAAGCCCCCGGCUCAACCGGGGAGGGUCAUUGGAAACUGGGGAACUUGAGUGCAGGAGAGAAAAGUGGAAUUCCCAGUGUAGCGGUGAAAUGCGUAGAGAUUAGGAGGAACACCAGUGGCGAAGGCGGCUUUUUGGCCUGUAACUGACACUGAGGCGCGAAAGCGUGGGGAGCAAACAGGAUUAGAUACCCCGGUAGUCCCUGUCUCUUAUAC
rnacentral:rRNA from 1 species